rnacentral:rRNA from 1 species
AUUGAACGCUGGCGGCAGGCUUAACACAUGCAAGUCGAGCGGAGUGAUGGUGCUUGCACUAUCACUUAGCGGCGGACGGGUGAGUAAUGCUUAGGAAUCUGCCUAUUAGUGGGGGACAACAUCUCGAAAGGGAUGCUAAUACCGCAUACGUCCUACGGGAGAAAGCAGGGGAUCACUUGUGCCCUUGCGUUAAAGGAUGACCCUAGUCGGAUUAGCUUAGUUGGUGGGGUAAAGGCCUACCAAGGCGACGAUCUGUAGCGGGUCUGAGAGGAUGAUCCGCCACACUGGGACUGAGACACGGCCCAGACUCCUACGGGAGGCAGCAGUGGGGAAUAUUGGACAAUGGGGGGAACCCUGAUCCAGCCAUGCCGCGUGUGUGAAGAAGGCCUUAUGGUUGUAAAGCACUUUAAGCGAGGAGGAGGCUCUUUUGGUUAAUACCCAAGAUGAGUGGACGUUACUCGCAGAAUAAGCACCGGCUAACUCUGUGCCAGCAGCCGCGGUAA